UACGUAGGGGGCAAGCGUUGUCCGGAUUUAUUGGGCGUAAAGAGCGUGUAGGCGGUUCGUAAGGUCGCUCGUGAAAACUCGAGGCUCAACCUCGAGACGUCGGUUGAAACCAUCUGGCUAGAGUCCGGAAGAGGAGUGUGGAAUUCCCGGUGUAGCGGUGAAAUGCGCAGAUAUCGGGAAGAACACCCGUGGCGAAGGCGGCACUCUGGGACGGUACUGACGCUGAGACGCGAAAGCGUGGGGAGCGAACAGG
rnacentral:rRNA from 1 species